CGUUGACUUACAUGAGUCACCUCUGUCGUCUGAAAAUUGAAUCAGGUGUUUCUGGAAGGAAAAAUGUUCAAUUUUAGAUUAGCCUCAAAACGAUAGUGUUUUUAUUCAUAUCGGGGCUCAUCUCAAAUUGGACAUGUUCUUUUUCUAUAAGUCAAUUGCGGUUGGCAGCACGCUCUUCCUGCGUGCUGGACUGGGAAGGAAUAUUUCUGUCACUAAUCUAGCUCACUUGAUGGCUAAAAUCGGAGUGAAAUCUACACGCGCUCGGUUCAUGGCAAAAUCAAAAUUUCGGAAAAUACUUUAAUCUAGUCUGCUUGACUCAGAUUCCAAGACUAUAUACAUCCAUCGGUUGCAUCUGCGGUCUGAUUAUUGAAAUUGAUAGACAAAGAGGAAAUUGAGCGAUCCUGUUGGCGGAGGCGGAAGGCUGCAAUGGACAAAGGAGUCAAGCGACAAAUAAUCCUGAACGGAACUUAACCCAAAGAAAGGGAAAGUAGAUCAAUCGGGGUGACCCUGACUCGAAUACCGAAUUCGAAAACUCAGAAACGACAUGGGCGUCACCUGGACAAGAACCUGUAUAUUUAUUACAAUAGACAGACUUGCCGAUCCGAUCGGUCUCCAUCCCAAGGCUAACGACUCACGUGACUUGGCUGAACCUCUUCGGCGAUGGAAAUCACCGCCAACGGAGAGUGAUCUGGGAAGGAGGAACCGCAGUCCGGAGACGGACCAGCCGAAAGGAGUCUGGGCCAACAGUAACUGGAGGAAAAACACAGGGUGAUGCCGAAGUGAAAGCCAGGGUUUCAGGAGCGAGGGGGCUAAAAUCAUAUAACACGGAAAAAAUAGUGUAAAGGGUUAUCCCCUAAAAUUCAGGUACUAUCCCCAUGGAGAAUUUGCAUGCAAAUGUUUUAUUGCUUCACCCAAAAGUGCUGAAAGAGUUGAUUUCACAGUAUUUUUACAAUUUUUUUUCUAAUAUGGGAAAUAGUAUAAAAAUAGAUUUAAAAGUAAGAAAAUGCACCGCCUAGUGACGUCAUCUGGCGGCAUUUCCCAUUUAAAUACACGUAUUUUAGCAGAUUAGAUCAUUUUGUCAUAUCUUCUCCAAUAACUGUCCAAUUCAGGAACCAAGCAAGGGUAUCCUCGUGAUCAGUUCACUCAAUUUCCACUUAAGCACGAAAUUCAUCAAAUUUCAGACACCUGCAAAUUCUCUAUUUGUUGGAUGAUAUGGACAUUUCUAAUUUCAUGGGUACACGGACUUUGUGUCCACUUUUUUUACGUCCACAGACUUUUCGUCCACAAUUUUUACGUCCACAGUUCCAAAGCCCACACUAUUGUUAAGUCCAUUACUUAAACGUCCACUAAGUCAAGCCCA
rnacentral:lncRNA from 1 species